rnacentral:tRNA from 1 species
GCACUCGUAGCGCAGCUUGGAUUAGCGCAUCAGCCUCCUAAGCUGAGGGUCCCGGGUUCAAAUCCCGGCGAGUGCG